rnacentral:rRNA from 1 species
UACGUAGGGUGCGAGCGUUGUCCGGAAUUAUUGGGCGUAAAGAGCUCGUAGGCGGUCUGUCGCGUCGGUCGUGAAAACUUGGGGCUUAACCCUGAGCUUGCGGUCGAUACGGGCAUGACUGGAGUUCGGCAGGGGAGACUGGAAUUCCUGGUGUAGCGGUGAAAUGCGCAGAUAUCGAGAGGAACACCUGCGGCGAAGGCGGGUUGCUGGGCUGACACUGACGCUGAGGCGCGAAAGCUAGGGGAGCGAACGGG